GACAAAAAGAUAGACGAGAGCAUAGUUAAAGGAUUAUUUUAGACAAUUCCGGUAAUUGAAGGUACUAUUUGUGGCCUUUUCUCCUAAAUUGUGCGUACUCCUGAACCAAAUCACAGCCCAUUUGCAGGUAAAACCUGUAACGCAUUUUUUUGGCGGACAAUUCAAUCUUGUUUGGAAAAUCCUAUAGUCAAAUCUCUUGCUUUCUUGUUUUCAUCGACAGCAACCUUCCCCUUCUUCAAAUCUACCCCACACCCACCUCCUCUUUCAUUCUCAUUUCUCUGAGGAAGUAGUAAUUGGAAGACAGGAAUUGAAUUACAUUGAUCAGGAAAUGGAUUCUGCAGCCAUGACUAGCGUUUGUGGCAAAUCUGCUGUUUGCUCUACUCCCGUAAGACCAAUUCGACAUGGUUUAUUUAUGGGGAGAACAAGCAAUAUUAGGAGCUCGCAGUGUAGCUUUAUGGCAGGAAAUAGGAUAAACUUUCCAAGGCAGACUGCUCAAGCACACAGAGUUAGUACUAAAUCUCGCAAGUAUGGUGCUCUUACUGUGACAUGUCGCACCGAGAAAAUUCUGGUGGCAAAUAGAGGAGAGAUUGCUGUCCGUGUGAUUCGAACUGCCCAUGAGAUGGGAAUUCCUUGUGUUGCGGUUUAUUCGACUAUCGAUAAAGAUGCCUUACAUGUGAAGCUAGCUGAUGAAUCUGUUUGCAUUGGAGAGGCACCAAGUAAUCAAUCGUAUUUAGUGAUCCCAAAUGUCUUGUCUGCUGCUAUCAGUCGCGGAUGUACAAUGUUGCAUCCUGGAUAUGGUUUCCUUUCUGAGAAUGCAAGUUUUGUUGAGAUGUGCAGAGAACAUGGAAUCAACUUUAUUGGGCCAAAUCCAGACAGUAUAAGAGUCAUGGGUGACAAAUCCACUGCUAGAGAUACAAUGAAGAAUGCUGGUGUUCCAACUGUACCAGGAAGUGACGGACUAUUGCAGAGCACUGAAGAAGGUGUAAGGCUUGCCGAGGAGAUUGGUUACCCCGUGAUGAUUAAGGCAACAGCUGGUGGUGGUGGACGUGGAAUGCGUCUUGCUAAAGAACCUGAUGAGUUUGUAAAAUUAUUACAGCAAGCUAAGAGUGAAGCAGCAGCUGCAUUUGGAAAUGAUGGCGUUUAUCUGGAGAAGUACAUCCAAAAUCCCAGGCACAUUGAAUUUCAGGUUUUGGCAGACAAGUAUGGUAAUGUUGUACACUUUGGAGAGCGUGAUUGCAGUAUUCAGAGAAGAAACCAGAAGUUGCUGGAGGAAGCACCCUCCCCUGCAUUGUCACCAGAGCUGAGGAAAGCCAUGGGUGAUGCAGCUGUUGCAGCAGCAGCAUCUAUAGGUUACAUUGGUGUUGGUACCAUAGAGUUUCUAUUGGAUGAGAGAGGGUCUUUUUACUUCAUGGAAAUGAACACUCGUAUUCAGGUAGAGCAUCCAGUGACAGAAAUGAUAUCCUCUGUUGAUCUGAUAGAGGAACAGAUCCGUGUCGCUAUGGGAGAAAAGCUCCGAUACAAACAGGAGGAUAUUGUGCUUAGAGGACAUUCAAUUGAAUGUCGUAUAAACGCAGAAGAUGCUUUCAAAAAUUUCCGACCUGGCCCAGGGAGAAUCACUGCAUAUUUACCAGCUGGAGGUCCAUUUACGCGUAUGGAUAGCCACGUUUAUCCUGACUAUGUGGUUCCACCUAGCUACGAUUCCCUGCUAGGAAAGCUUAUCGUUUGGGCUCCAACACGCGAGAAGGCUAUUGAGCGCAUGAAAAGAGCACUUGAUGAUACCAUUAUCACUGGAGUUCCUACCACAAUAGAAUAUCAUAAACUCAUCCUUGAUAUCGAGGACUUUAAGAACGGGAAAGUUGAUACUGCUUUUAUUCCAAAGCAUGAGGAAGAAUUAGCUCCGAAACAUGAAAUAUAAGAUGAAGACAGGAAAGCGCAGGUUCGAGCUCAGCUCGUAACAACACUUAGAAACUCGCCUCAGCAAAUGGCUCCAGCAGCAACCAAGGAGCUGAUCAAAGCCAGUGUUUAAUUAUUCUUUUCUUUAGUUUUCUUCUUUGAUCUUUUUCCUUCAUCAGUGAAUAUAGUGGAAGAAGAUUACUUCCAUGGAUCUUGAAUUGAGUGCAGUUUUGGAUAUUACUUUCAUUCCCUUGAUCUUAGCUUGAUUGUAUUUAAAGAUGCACAAGACUGAAUGAAAUUCUUCUCUUUUUUAAAA